rnacentral:rRNA from 1 species
GGCGCACGGGGUGCGUAACACGUGGGUAAUCUGCCCUGAAGCUCGGGAUAACUCGCCGAAAGGCGUGCUAAUACCGGAUAAGACCACGGGAGCCUCGGCUCCUGCGGGAAAAGGUGGCCUCUGCAUGCAAGCUAUCACUUCAGGAUGAGCCCGCGGCCCAUCAGCUCGUUGGCGGGGUAACGGCCCACCAAGGCUACGACGGGUAGCUGGUCUGAGAGGACGAUCAGCCACACUGGAACUGAGAUACGGUCCAGACUCCUACGGGAGGCAACAGUGGGGAAUCUUGCGCAAUGGGCGAAAGCCUGACGCAGCAACGCCGCGUGUGUGAUGAAGGUCUUCGGAUCGUAAAGCACUGUCGGGAGGGACGAAUAAGGGCCGGGUGAACAAUCCGGUUCGAUGACGGUACCUCCAAAGGAAGCACCGGCUAACUCUGUGCCAGCAGCCGCGGUAAUACAGAGGGUGCAAGCGUUGUUCGGAAUUAUUGGGCGUAAAGCGCGUGUAGGCGGUCUCGCAAGUCGGAUGUGAAAGCCCUCGGCUUAACCGA